rnacentral:rRNA from 1 species
AUACGUAGGGAGCGAGCGUUGUCCGGAAUUACUGGGCGUAAAGGGCGCGUAGGCGGCGCUUCAAGUCGUCUGUCAAAUGGGAGGGCUUAACCCUUUUUCGCAGACGAAACUGGAGAGCUUGAGAAGCAGAGAGGCAAACAGAAUUCCUGGUGUAGCGGGGAAAUGCGUAGAUAUCAGGAAGAAUACCAGUGGCGAAGGCGGUUUGCUGGCUGCAUACUGACGCUGAAGCGCGAAAGCCAGGGGAGCGAACGGGAUUAGAUUCCCCGGUAGUCCUGGCAGUAAACGAUGUAUGCUGGGUGUGAGACUAGCGAUAGUUUCGUGCCGAAGUUAACGCGAUAAGCAUACCGCCUGGGGAGUACGGUCGCAAGAUUGAAACUCAAAGGAAUUGGCGGGG